AGUCAAGUAAUUAAGUGCAUGUGGUGGAUGCCUUGGCAGUCAGAGGCGAUGAAAGACGUGAUAGCCUGCGAAAAGCUCCGGGGAGGCGGCAAAUAUCCUUUGAUCCGGAGAUGUCUGAAUGGGGGAACCCACCUACUUUAAGGUAGGUAUUGCAACAUGAAUACAUAGUGUUGCAAGGCGAACGAGGGGAAGUGAAACAUCUCAGUACCCUUAGGAAAAGAAAUCAAUUGAGAUUCCCUCAGUAGCGGCGAGCGAACGGGGAUCAGCCCAUUAAGUUAUGUGUGUUUUAGUGGAACGCUCUGGGAAGUGCGAACGUAGAGGGUGAUAUUCCCGUACACGAAAGGGCACACAUAAUGAUGACGAGUAGGGCGAGGCACGUGAAACCUUGUCUGAAUAUGGGGGGACCAUCCUCCAAGGCUAAAUACUCCUGACUGACCGAUAGUGAACCAGUACCGUGAGGGAAAGGCGAAAAGAACCCCUGUGAGGGGAGUGAAAUAGAUCCUGAAACCGCAUGCAUACAAGCAGUGGGAGCACCUUCGUGGUGUGACUGCGUACCUUUUGUAUAAUGGGUCAGCGACUUAUAUUCAGUAGCAAGGUUAACCGUAUAGGGGAGCCGUAGAGAAAUCGAGUCUUAAUAGGGCGUUUAGUUGCUGGGUAUAGACCCGAAACCAGGCGAUCUAUCCAUGAGCAGGUUGAAGGUUGGGUAACACUAACUGGAGGACCGAACCCACUGUCGUUGAAAAGCCAGGGGAUGACUUGUGGAUAGGGGUGAAAGGCUAAUCAAGCCUGGUGAUAGCUGGUUCUCCCCGAAAGCUAUUUAGGUAGCGCCUCGGACGAAUACCAUAGGGGGUAGAGCACUGUUUCGGCUAGGGGGUCAUCCCGACUUACCAAACCGAUGCAAACUCCGAAUACCUAUGAGUACUAUCCGGGAGACAGACUGCGGGUGCUAACGUCCGUAGUCAAGAGGAAAACAAUCCAGACCGCCAGCUAAGGCCCCAAAAUCAUAGUUAAGUGGGAAACGAUGUGGGAAGGCAUAGACAGCUAGGAGGUUGGCUUAGAAGCAGCCACCCUUUAAAGAAAGCGUAAUAGCUCACUAGUCGAGUCGGCCUGCGCGGAAGAUGUAACGGGGCUAAAACUAUGUGCCGAAGCUGCGGAUGUUACUUUGUAUACGUGGUAGGGGAGCGUUCUGUAAGCCGAUGAAGGUGUGUUGAGAAGCAUGCUGGAGGUAUCAGAAGUGCGAAUGCUGACGUGAGUAACGACAAAACGGGUGAAAAACCCGUUCGCCGAAAGACCAAGGGUUCCAGUCCAACGUUAAUCGGGGCUGGGUGAGUCGACCCCUAAGGCGAGGCCGAAAGGCGUAGUCGAUGGGAAAAUGGUUAAUAUUCCAUUACUUCUGUGUAAUGCGAUGAGAGGACGGAGAAGGCUAAAUCAGCCUGGCGUUGGUUGUCCAGGUGAAAGGAUGUAGGCAUGUAUCUUAGGCAAAUCCGGGGUACUCUAUGCUGAGAUCUGAUAGCAAGCUGUACUUGUACAGCGAAGUGGUUGAUGCCAUGCUUCCAGGAAAAGUCUCUAAGCUUCAGUUACACAGGAAUCGUACCCGAAACCGACACAGGUGGUCAGGUCGAGUAGACCAAGGCGCUUGAGAGAACUCUGCUGAAGGAACUAGGCAAAAUGGUACCGUAACUUCGGGAGAAGGUACGCUGUUGUUGGUGAUGGAACUCGCUUCCUGAGCUGACGACAGCCGCAGAAACCAGGCCGCUGCAACUGUUUAUUAAAAACAUAGCACUCUGCAAACACGAAAGUGGACGUAUAGGGUGUGAUGCCUGCCCGGUGCUGGAAGGUUAAUUGAUGGGGUUAGCGUAAGCGAAGCUCUUGAUCGAAGCCCCAGUAAACGGCGGCCGUAACUAUAACGGUCCUAAGGUAGCGAAAUUCCUUGUCGGGUAAGUUCCGACCUGCACGAAUGGCAUAAUGAUGGCGGCGCUGUCUCCAGCAGAGGCUCAGUGAAAUCGAAAUCGCUGUGAAGAUGCAGUGUACCCGCGGCUAGACGGAAAGACCCCGUGAACCUUUACUGCAGCUUGACACUGAACUUUGACCUUACUUGUGUAGGAUAGGUGGGAGGCUUUGAAGCUGGAACGCUAGUUCCAGUGGAGCCGUCCUUGAAAUACCACCCUGGUAAUGUUGAGGUUCUAACUCUGUCCCGUGAUCCGGGACGAGGACCGUGUCUGGUGGGUAGUUUGACUGGGGCGGUCUCCUCCUAAAGAGUAACGGAGGAGUACGAAGGUGCGCUCAGCGUGGUCGGAAAUCACGCGUAGAGUAUAAAGGCAAAAGCGCGCUUAACUGCGAGACCCACAAGUCGAGCAGGUACGAAAGUAGGUCUUAGUGAUCCGGUGGUUCUGUAUGGAAGGGCCAUCGCUCAACGGAUAAAAGGUACUCUGGGGAUAACAGGCUGAUACCGCCCAAGAGUUCAUAUCGACGGCGGUGUUUGGCACCUCGAUGUCGGCUCAUCUCAUCCUGGGGCUGAAGCAGGUCCCAAGGGUAUGGCUGUUCGCCAUUUAAAGAGGUACGCGAGCUGGGUUUAGAACGUCGUGAGACAGUUCGGUCCCUAUCUACCGUGGGCGCUGGAAAUUUGAGAGGAUCUGCUCCUAGUACGAGAGGACCAGAGUGGACGAACCUCUGGUGUACCGGUUGUGACGCCAGUCGCAUCGCCGGGUAGCUAUGUUCGGAAGGGAUAACCGCUGAAAGCAUCUAAGCGGGAAGCCUACCUCAAGAUAAGAUUUCCCUAGGACUUUAUGUCCUCUAAAGAGCCGUUCGAGACUAGGACGUUGAUAGGUUGGAUGUGGAAGCAUAGUGAUAUGUGAAGCUGACCAAUACUAAUUGCUCGUGAGGCUUGACUAU
rnacentral:rRNA from 1 species